rnacentral:rRNA from 1 species
UACGUAGGGGGCAAGCGUUGUCCGGAAUUAUUGGGCGUAAAGAGCGCGUAGGCGGUCCGGUAAGUCAGCUGUGAAAGUCAAGGGCUCAACCCUUGAAAGCCGGGCUGAUACUGCCGGACUAGAGCCGGAAGAGGCGAGUGGGAAUUCCCGGUGUAGCGGUGAAAUGCGCAGAUAUCGGGAGGAACACCAAUGGCGAAGGCAGCUCGCGUGGG